rnacentral:rRNA from 1 species
AUGCAAGUCGAACGGUAACAGAAAGCAGCUUGCUGCUUUGCUGACGAGUGGCGGACGGGUGAGUAAUGUCUGGGAAACUGCCUGAUGGAGGGGGAUAACUACUGGAAACGGUAGCUAAUACCGCAUAACGUCGCAAGACCAAAGAGGGGGACCUUCGGGCCUCUUGCCAUCGGAUGUGCCCAGAUGGGAUUAGCUAGUAGGUGGGGUAAAGGCUCACCUAGGCGACGAUCCCUAGCUGGUCUGAGAGGAUGACCAGCCACACUGGAACUGAGACACGGUCCAGACUCCUACGGGAGGCAGCAGUGGGGAAUAUUGCACAAUGGGCGCAAGCCUGAUGCAGCCAUGCCGCGUGUAUGAAGAAGGCCUUCGGGUUGUAAAGUACUUUCAGCGGGGAGGAAGGGAGUAAAGUUAAUACCUUUGCUCAUUGACGUUACCCGCAGAAGAAGCACCGGCUAACUCCGUGCCAGCAGCCGCGGUAAUACGGAGGGUGCAAGCGUUAAUCGGAAUUACUGGGCGUAAAGCGCACGCAGGCGGUUUGUUAAGUCAGAUGUGAAAUCCCCGGGCUCAACCUGGGAACUGCAUCUGAUACUGGCAAGCUUGAGUCUCGUAGA